CCUACGGGUGACAGCAGUGAGGAAUAUUGGUCAAUGGGCGCAAGCCUGAACCAGCCAAGUCGCGUGAGGGAUGACGGUCCUAUGGAUUGUAAACCUCUUUUGUCGGGGAGCAAGGCCCGCCACGUGUGGCGGGACGGAGAGUACCCGAAGAAAAAGCCUCGGCUAACUCCGUGCCAGCAGCCGCGGUAAUACGGAGGGUGCGAGCGUUAAUCGGAAUUACUGGGCGUAAAGCGCUCGUAGGCGGUAUGUCAAGUCAAGGGUGAAAUCCCCGCGCUCAACGUGGGAACUGCCUUUGAAACUGGCAAACUGGAGUGUGUGAGAGGAUAGUGGAAUUCCAGGUGUAGGAGUGAAAUCCGUAGAUAUCUGGAGGAACAUCAGUGGCGAAGGCGACUAUCUGGCACAUAACUGACGCUGAGGAGCGAAAGCGUGGGUAGCAAACAGGAUUAGAUACCCUUGUAGUC
rnacentral:rRNA from 1 species